UAGAACUCUCCAUUUUCAUUUCCAGAUUUAAUCCGAAAAGUAUUGAUAGUAUUGGCAUAAAUGGUUGUGGCCUGUAUCUGGAAGAUGUCUGAUGGCACAGACCUAUCAGAUCGGAUGCUCAUGUACUUGUAGACUAUAGACUGGGGAAGUUCUCGGCACACCGCACUUGAGACUGGGCAAACACAUCGGCUGCAGAGAAAAACAAAAGUAUUUCCCAGUUUAUCGUGCCUCCCCCACCCCACUCAAACACAGAGAGUUUUCAGUUUUGCAAGGCUGUGGAAAUGAGAACAGUUAUUUCAUCCUGAAAAUAAGCCUUUGAUUAAAGGCCCAGAGAGGAUUUUAUCAUUGGCAUCAGAGACACCUGGACAAAUCUGGAGACUGAUUCUGGGGAGAGUGAACCAAAGAGAAAAUGUACUGCAUUCCACACAGAGCUGUAUCCUGUACUUUAAAAAGUAAUUUAAAACAUUUGGUACUUUUUCAUUUUAAGAAAAAAAACCCCUACACUUCCUUUGGAUUUUAAUUACUCCUUUUAAUAGCUACAUCAGCCUUUUAUCUAUUCUUUCCAUUGGGUUUACAAUUUAGCUACUAGAAUAUUCUUUUAGGAGAGAUUGGAUGUGGCUGGUGGCUUUCCCUACAUGCACCAUUUGAUUUUACAGGUUCUCCUAUAUGUUGUUCAAUUUUUUGGUUUCCAUCUUCUCUGAUUUUUCUGUUUUUGCUCAUAUAUCUUUUCUCUUUUUUCUUUCCCUUAGAGGGCUCUUCUACAUUAUUAUUGUCUUCUUGUUGAAAAACAAGCCACUAUCCUGCCUCCUUAUCAAGAUACCUACUCCUUAGAGUCCUAAGAAAAUCCAUGUUGGAUUUUAUGAUUUCUGAAUUUUUAAGCCUAACCUAUUUAUUGUAAUCUUAGGUUAUGCUCAGCACGGUCUCCUAGUAGAUUUUUGAGGUAAAAGAAAAAGAUGUAAACAAGUGUAAACAUAAAAAUGAUGGUUCUAGGUACAGGCUUUUGACUAGGCUGAAGGAACAAAAAUGUGACCAAAACAGAACAGAGGUUUCUAUGGGAGAGGUGGAGAACAUUUUCUACAAUUCCCUAACACACACACACAAAUAUCACAGAUGUCUAGGACAAAAGUUAACAUAAAGCAAGAAGGAUGUUUAUUAAAUUUAUUUUAUGUAACAGGCUUGUAGGUAUAUGCUAAUCUGCAAGAAUAAAGGUAGUUCUGUUUGCUCGUUUUUAUUUUGCAAAACUUUUGCAAAAAGUUUUUAUUUCAGGGAUAUUGUUUAUAGAGUAGAUUAAAGGAGUUUUUAAUUACAAAGUUUCAAAAUCAAAGGAUAUAGUCAUAAUUAUUUAGGAAUGGUUUUGGAGAGGAUGGAUAGCGUUUCAGAAGUUCCAAGUCUAUGAAGGAGAGAAGGGUACAUUCAUUCAGAAGAAGCUGUCAGAAGAGUGAGGUUCUUCUUACAGACAGUACUUUGCCUAUUUCAACCACACCCAUCAGGCUGUGUAUCUGAAUGAGUCAUCCAGUCUCCUGCACUGCUGGGAAGGUGGGUACAUUUUGCUUUUUAACUCCUAUUUUACUUUUUGAAACCAUUCAAAAUUCUAGACUUAACUCUAAAGGUUUGGUUGGAAUCAAUGGAGGGGGAAUUUUCAUUAUGGAUUGUGGUAGGCAGCUUCUUACAUAGCUCCCAAAGAUUCCAGACUCCUGGUAUUCAUGCUGUUGAAUGUAGACUGGAUGUUGUGACUUGUUUCUUUUUUUUUUUUUUUUAAAGAUUUUUUAUUUAUUCAUGAUAGUCAUACAGAGAGAGACAGAGAGGCAGAGACACAGGCAGAGGGAGAAGCAGGCUCCAUGCAGAAAGCCCGACAUGGGACUGGAUCCCGGGUCUCCAGGAUCACGCCCCGGGCCGAAGGCAGGCGCCAAACCGCUGCGCCACCCAGGGAUCCUUGUGACUUGUUUCUAAUGAGCAGAAUAUGAGAAAAGUGAUGGGUUGUUGCUUCCAUGAUUAAGUCACAAGACUGUGACUUCAAUCUUAGUAGCAUUCUCUCUCUUGUUUGUUUACCAUGUUGUGAGAUGGCCUGUGAAAAGGUGUAUGUAGCCAGGAGUUGAAGGGGGGAAGAACUGAUGACCAACAGAGGUAGGAAGUAAAUCCUGCCAACAACCACUAGUGAGGGAGCUAGAAAGUGGAUCUUUCCCGGUGAAACCUAGAGAUGACUUUGGCCUUGUGAAAGACCCUAAGCCAGGAGACCCAGCUAAGUCACAUCUUGAUUCCCGACCCAGAAAAAAUGUGAGAUAAUAAAGGUUUGUUGUUUUAAGCUGUUAAGUUUUAGGGUAAUUUGUUACGUGGCAACAGAUAACUAGCGUGUAGACUUCCUUAUGGUUUCUAUGUGAUGGAUAAUAAUGCAUAUGCUCAGCAAAGACUGGUUACUAUGGUUGUAAACCUGGUUUGAGUCUGAGGCUGAGAAAAAUCUCCAAAUGUGAAAUGAACAGACUUAUAGAACUGAAACAGAUUUUUCUUUAGUGAAAGAUACUUAGGAAGGCAGGAAAUCUUAAGUGAAGGCAGGAAAUCUUAAUUCAAAAUCAAGAAUAUAACACAGAGCCUUUAACAGUAGUGUUGCACCUUCACAGGUUACGGCAGUUUCUAUUAAAACAUGUAAAAAAGGAUAUUUACUGUGCACCAAAAUAAAAAUAACUCCUUUCUCUGCUAGGAUUAAAGUGGAGUCCUGGGCUGUACGUGAACCACAAUAAUUAUCCCUGUCAGGGCCUGGGGAAAAGACCGUGGUGAUCUAGCUUUAAAGCUUCAGUGAUUUGGUCCAGACUUUUAAAA